rnacentral:misc_RNA from 1 species
AAGUCGUAACAAGGUCUCCGUAGGUGAACCUGCGGAGGGAUCAUUCACAUGAUAUACUUUAAACAAACUGUGAACUUUAUAAAAUACUAUUCGUGUGUGUUGUUGACUUUAUGUUAAUUUCAUACAUUGUCAUUCGAUUGAACAUAAGAUAGUUGGCUUGAAAUUGUAAUUUAUUACAUUUUCUUUCUCAGCUUUGAUUUGAUAUAACUAAACAUUUUAUCACUUCAACCAUAAAACAUAGAAACAACUCUAUGCCCUGGAUAUCUUGGUUCUC